rnacentral:SRP_RNA from 1 species
GCCGGGCGUUGUGGCGGGCGCCUGUGGUCCCAGCUACUUGGGAGGUGGAGGCAGGAGACUUGCUUGAGCCCAGGAGUUGGAGGUUGCUGUGAGCUGGGAUGCCACAGCACUCUACCCAGGGGGACAGCUUGAGGCUCUGUCUCAGAAAAAAAAAAAAAAGACUGGAGGCUGUGGACUCAGAUGCCUUAUAUCAAAUCUGGCUCUUCCAGUGCUGUGGAACUACAGGUGGUUUAACUUCCUUAAGCCUCACUUUUUUUUUUUUGAGACAGAGCCUCAAGCUGUUGCCUUGGGUAGAGUGCUGUGGCAUCACAGCUCACAGCAACCUCCAACUCCUGGGCUCAAGUGAUACUCUUGCCUCAG